AUGGCGACCUACAGGCAGAGCUGCACGCCAAUGUGUAUUCCUCCAUCAAAUGCUGACCUUGGCAAAGCUGCUAGAGAUAUUUUCAACAAACGAUUGAGUUUUGGCUUGGUGAAACUGGAUGUGAAAACAAAGUCAUGCAGUGGAGUGGAAUUGUCAACAUCUGGUUCAUCUAAUUAAUACAGACACUGGUAAAGUUACUGGGACCUUGGAGACCAAAUAUAAAUGGUGUGAGUAUGGUCUACAUUCAUAGAAAAAUGGAACACUGAUAACACCCUGGGAACAGAAAUUGCAAUCAAAGACAACAUUUGUCAAGGUUUGAAAUUGACAUUUGAUACCACCUUCUCACCAAACACUGGAAAGAAAAGUGGUAAAAUCAAGUCUUCUUACAAGAAGUGUAUAAACCUUGGUUGUGAUAUUGACUUUGAUUUUGCUGGACCUGUAAUCCCCAGUUCAGCUGUCUUUGGCUAUGAGGGCUGGCUUGCUGGUUACCAAAUGACCUUUGAUAGCACCAAGUCAAAGUUGACAAGGAAUAACUUUGCAGUGGGCUACAGGACUGGGGACUUCCAGUUACACACUAACGUUAGUGAUGGGACAGAAUUUGGACGAUCAGUCUAUCAGGAAGUAGGUGAAGAUCUUGACAUUUCAGUAAACCUUGCUUGGACAUCAGGUACCAACUGCACUCAUUUUGGCAUCACCACUAAGUAUCAAUUGGAUCCCACUGCUUCCACCUCUGCAAAAGUCAACAACUCUAGUUUAAUCAAAGUGGGCUAUACUCAGACUCUGAGGCCUGGGGUGAGGCUUACACUGUCUGCUCUGGUAGACAGAGCAUUAAUACUGGAGGCCACAAACUUGGGCUCGCUCUGGAGUUAGAGGCUUAAUCCAGCUGAAGAAACCUCUGGAAAUGGAUUUCAGAAGAUUUGGCCUUAAUAUAUUUCCAUUGUGACCAGCAGGCUUUUUUCCCCCCAAGAAGGUGAUCAAAACAAAGGAUGAUCUAAACAAGAGCUGUAUUUUAAAUAUUUAGACAGUUAUUUGUUAGCUGCUUUCUAGUUGAAUUGGUUAUCUAGUUACCAAUGCUGCAGUCAUGCAGUCAUCUACACAUUAUUUAAAUGUAUUCAGCUGUUAAAUGUGCUACCCACCAAUAACGAAAUAGACCUUUAUAAAAACUGUGCAAUUGUGUGCAUGUUUGUUUUUAUGUUCCUUUCAAUAUUUGAUAUUACUGUUGAAUGAAAUGGAUCAUUGGAUGUUUAAGAUGAGGCUAAAAUUUUUUGUUAAAUUCAACCAUCCUUAGAAAUACUUUUGGUAUCCCAGAACAUUACAAAUUAUGAAUAAAACAAGUAUACAU